AAUGAAACAGACAUUAUUACUGUAUGUAUAUAUGUGCUACAUGGCCAAUAUGAUUCUGCAACAUGAACACUCAGAAAAAUGAGAAAUCAUAUCCCAUCUAUGAAUGAUAUAUCAAAGUACAUAAAUUCAUUUUACUGUCAUGUAUAACUAAUUAAAACAAAUAAUUUUUUUAAAAAAAGCUGGAUUGGAGCAUGGAGGUUCCUAAUAUUCAACUAUGAGCUAAGUGGGCUCAGUCCUUCCUUCACUGGCCUCUUGCACAGAGCUGACUCUACCCCUGUACAUUCAUUGAAUGGAAGAAGAGCUCAACUGAAGGCACCUUUCCCAGGCAGGUGCAUCCAAGAGAGAGAGGAUGAGGUGGGCAUUCUUACUACCUAGGUAAGUCACUCCUUGGAGAAUGGAACAAAGGAUGGAAAGAAGGGCUCGAAGUUAUUAUAACUGACGUCACUCCAUGUGAAAGCAUAAGGUCAGAGAAAUGGAGAGCCCCACUAGUGUGAUAGUAGGAGCAAAUGUGACUCCAUUUUGUUUUAUGACUUCAUCCUGUAAAACAACCAUGCCAAGUAGAAGAGUCAUGACUGGAGCAAGAUGUUCUUUUCCUUUUGCUAUAGAAACCUUUAAGAAUACUGAACUACCUAAUGGGGUAUUGUUUCUGUAACUAGGGUAACGGGGCUCUGUUUCUGUAACUGGGGUGACUGGGCUAACUGUGAUUGGUUAGGCUUCCCUCCGCUUGACUGCACUGUCCCGCUUCUGUAACCUGGCUUGCUUGCAUUGGCUAGACCCCCGAACAUCCCUUUUGCGGUUUUCAGGCUUAUAAGGAGUGCCCUUGCAAUUGUUCGG
rnacentral:lncRNA from 1 species